AGAUUUAGCAACAGCUAGCAAACAGUUUAAGAAAGAUGAUGAAAAACUACUGCGCAGUAGGUGGGCGGUGGAGAGUUCAGCACCCUGACCCUGUGAGGAUGGUUGUGCUUGUUAUGAUUAAAGUUCUUUCCAGCCUAGUAUCCCAGCAGGGGAGAUCAUGUCUCUUUGCAGGUUUGCCUGCUCAAGAGUCUUUGCAAGUUUCUUUUGGGUUAUAUUGGAAGAGGCUGACAGCUGGCUAAGCUGAGAGGGAAUUGCUGACCUCCACAUGCAACAAAGACCAUACUUGUUAGAAGAAGGAGUCUGGGGCAGGAGAUUCUUGGGGGAGAGCUUAUCUGUUUCAGCAACAUCGCUCAUGCUAGAGCUAGGACUAAAAAGUAUUUCUUCUCCAGGUAUCUAGGUAAGGCAGGGAAUAUGGCUAUGCCCAGGACUGACUUGUGACUGGUGAAAAGCAAGCCUCUUCUUGCUUGUGCCCUCAGGCAAAAACAGGUUAGGCUCUGUGGAGCGCACAUCCUAUCUCUGCCACAAUCGCUUGUCACGGAUGCUACAAAGUGCUGCAUGAAGAGGGAGAACUGUAGCCAAAACCAACUAUGGGCAGAGCAUUAGAGUAUUAAAAAUAAGGUUAGUAGGCAGGGCUGGGUCUGUGCUGCUAAUAAAAUCUGGCUGGGGAACAAGUUAAAUUAUUGGACCUGAUUGUUCUGUGCUGCAUAACUACUCAUGUGCUCAUUGAUAUGGGUAUAGUUAAGGGAAUAGGUGCAUUAGUGACUGUUUCUGGAGUAAAGGCUGAAUGAGUCUGUGUCUGCACAGAACUCAACAUACUCUGCCCUGUGUGGUUGCCCAGUACUAUUCCAGGAUUGUACCGUUAACUCUUCCACAACACGUGUUGUACCCAAGAGUUUACAGUUUAGUGUUUCAAGCUGUAAAUCCCACAGCCUGCUUAGCUGCAGCACAUCCUCAAUACUAAAAGAGGACAGAUGUCCAGACCCCAUCUUCCUCCUGUGUAGCCAGUUGAGUGGGGAAGAAGGGGAGGCAGAGGGAAGCCUCACAGAGCAGUCAAGAUGUGAAUGUACUUGCAGAUUCCUACAGUCAUGUACUGUUUUGUGUUCGCUUCCUUUUCACAAGGUCAUGAAACUAUAUGGUGUUAGCUCAGUAUCUUACUUCCUCAUUAGUAAUGAGCUUAGAGUUUGUCAGUUCAUAUUGUUUUCACAUAUGUAUCACGUCUACAGAGUUUAAUCUGCAAGUUUGUCUAUUCACUCAGUCUUAUAAAGUCCUCCUGCAGAUGUUUGCGGUAAUAAUGAGAAGGAUCAACUUAAAUCUAUGAGCUAACUUGCAGGUCAUUUAAUCUUUGUGAAACAGUACUGGUCAGCAUCUUUCACUGAGUAAGAGCUGACUGUUCUUACUUGAUGCUUACCAUCUUUACCAGUUACUGUCCAUGAAAGGACUUUUUUUUUCCCCCUCACAUAGCUAGUUAACUUCCUUGAAAGCCUAUAUAUGUCAAAUGUCUUGGUCUUUGUAACAAGACUUCUGGACAUCCUUACUGACUGCAUCAGCUGCAUGACUCCUGUGCCUGUUGCCUCAUUUAGAGGCAACUAAAAGAUUCAACAAUUCAACUAGAUUUGUGAGGCAAUGCUUCUCUUUGAAAACGUUGCUUUGACUCUUCCACAUUUAUUUAAAGCUCAUUCAGUGCUCCCUUUUUCUCUUAACUCUCUUAAUAGAGACAUAAAGCUUACAGGCUCAGUGUUGAAAUCUUCCCGUAGUUUCCUUAAAAUUGGCACUGUGCUUGCUACUCUCCUGCUCUUUGCUAUCAAAAUGCAUACAUUCCGUUGUUUCAAGUGAGCAGCUGUGUAUCACUUACUGGUUUGGGGCAAUGCAAACACAUCAAAACUGGAUACCGUGUCCCAGUACCUUGAUUUCCCCCCCCCCCCUUUUGUUCUAAGAUUUCUUCCACUUCUUCCCACUUGAGACAGACCCUGGGAGCUCCUAAGAGGAGAUCUUCAGUGUCUGCAAGGAGUAGAAAGGAGAAGUGGAAAUAUAUAUUAAAAAUAAAUAAAUAAAAAUAAAUAAAUUAUUCUGUUAUCCAGAUGUUCCUUAUGUACUUAGGUUAUUUCUUGGUUCUAUACAUUACUCUUAAUGCAUUCUGAAGGAGAAAUAACCUUUUUCUGUGUAUUUUUUGUCUUUGGCAAAUAAACAGUCCUUUGCUGGCACGAUCAUUUGAGCACCUGGUUCUCACAGCUUUAUGAAGUCUGCCUUCUUGGUUCUAGCAGACUCCAAGUUUUGCCUGUUUUCUCUUGCUCUUUCAAGCAUUUCUUACCACCUAGUAUGUCAAUAUGGUAUGUCUGUUCCUUCCAUGCCACCUGUAAGCAUCCAGUCCUCUUUUGCUGGCAAGUGUGCAUCUCCUUUCAAGCAUCCUCAGUUGUAUUUUACUACCUUCUGAAGCUGAGUGCAGCUGUAAUAGAGUUACUAGCACUUGUUACUAGCACCUAGAGAUUUUGAAUGUUUGCUUUUGUUCCUGGUAGAGAGGCUCUUCAGCCCUAAGAGUUUUCAGUAAGGUCCUGCAUGCUGCUUCAGAUGAAAUCAGGGGCUGCAUUUUUCUGUCCCCUUUGUAUUCUUCUUGAUCAGCUGAUCAGCGAAGCGGGCAUUGGGAAAGUGGUGCAAAAUCAGAGUAAUUCUGUGUUGGAAGGGACCUGUGGAAGUCACCUUGUCCAACCUGCUGCUCUAAGCAGGACCAGCUUACAUCAGCUUGCCCAGAGUUUGUCCAGUUGAGUUUUGCAUAUUUCUAAGGAUGGAGACUUCCAGCCUCCUCAGGUAACUUGUUACAGUAUUUGAUUAUUCUCAUUGUGAAACUUCUUUUCUGGUAUCUAAUUGGUAUUUUCCUUCCUGCAACUUUUGUCCCUUGCCUCUUGUCCUACUACUGUGGACCUUUGAGAAGAAUCUGGCUUGUGUGUGCUCCCUUCAGGUAGCUGAAGACAGCGGUGUUGCAUUAAUAGUGCCUGAAUAGCAACAAUCUACCUGGGGUAAUGCAAGCUCUCAAGCUUUCUGGUACUAUCUUAUGUUCUCUUAAUCCUUCUGAUAACACUUAACAGCUACAUGUUGUACAUAUAAAUAAAUGAAGGAGGUGCAGCAUGCUGAAGGGUAACAAGCCUGAAGUGUGAAACACUGUUGGUGGUGUUCAUAUCAGCUUAUCAGUUCCAAGCCAUAGUAUCAAAUUUUGGCUUGAAAUGAAGUGUUACCAAAUACACAAUGUAAGCAGACAAAUUAUUUGAACUAGUCUUCAGUUUGUUCUUUUGGAGGUGAGAAGGGAAAUAAAAAAAAAAUAAAAAUCCUUAUUUUUAGGUUCAUAGCCCUAUUUCAGCAUUGAACUGACUACUUUCUGCCUGGAUGAACCAUAUUAAACUUCUGAAACUUCACAGCAUACAGCUUUCCACCUGGAAGGACAAGGUGGACUAUGAAGACAAGUGUAUUGUUUUCUUUUUUUUCUUAUUUUUAAUUUUUGGUUACUUAAAAAUUAAGAUGUCAUUUGCGUUAAUCUUAGUUGAAUAUAGAGGGCUUAAUUUUCUGGCCUAGCAAUAAAAACCUACUGAUUAACUUGUCAGAAGACUUCCAUGAGAUCUCCAUUUCUUUGCACUAGAUUUCAGUUGGUUAAAUCUUAACUUAUUUUCAAAUUUGGCCUUUGUAGAGUAAGUCCACCUCAAACUAAAAAUUUCCUUGAUGUUUGCACUGCUUGAGUGAAUUCUGCAGAUGGCCUUCUAUGCUGGUUUAGUGGGACAUAACUUGAAACGAAUGGGGUGAAAUUAUAAAAAUAUGAAACUUCUUGAAUAGCAGUAAUGAAGAUACAAUGAAAAAGUGAAGUGAAAGAUGCAAGAAAUAAUUAGAAGGACUGAGAAAGACUACUAUUUGGAAUAGUAGUGUUGUGAACUUCUAAAAACAAGGUAUGCCUUGCUGUGUUUUUGUUUAUAUCUUCUAUCUCAUGGACACUUCUAUGAAGUAAGCUAUCUUGAUGAUUUGGUGUGCUUUACAUCAUCUUCGGAAGGAAAUUAAUUUGCUUUUUGCUUUAAAACUGAGUAUUCACCCAGGAAAAUGACGGAAGUGCAGUUUCACCUCUCAGUUUUCCUGUGCUAUGUAGAAGCAGUUGGCAGUGCCUCUAAUUACUAAAUAAUAAAAAUCAGUGCAGCAUUUGUAUAAUCUCUUACCAUGGUGCUAUUAAAGCAAAAGCCUUUCUUUAUAUGCUUUGCUCUAUUUUUCUGUUGCUAAAUUGUUCCAAAGCCUAUUAGCUCUCAUAGGAGGAUAAAAUGACUAGCUGCUGGUAAGAUUUGAUGCUUGAGCUACCGUGUUCUCCAGCAGCAAGCAGGGAGAGUGCCUGGGCUUUGAGGCCAGUGCUCACGGUGAGCUGCCUGCUCAGGGAGGUGCUCUUGGAGCCUGCCAGCUGGGCUGUGGCAUGGGACAAAGCAGGCUGGCAAGAGGAUGACGUUAAGCUUGGAAUUCAGACUACUGAAUUCAUAAUUCAUACGGAAUUCAUAAGGAGAGGAUUCAUAAUCCCAUGGUGUGAGGUAUUUAUCCUUUUACAUUUUAAAGGAACUUUUCCAGAACAGCCCUUGAGCAGUUUCUUUUUUUUUCCUUAUGUUAAAGUGGGAGGACUCCCUCCCACCACCCUACCUUACAUGUGCAAACUCUUGAACUGAUAAUAAUAACACUAAUAGAUUUUUGGCUUGGUUUCUUUCAGACCUUCCAGGAUGUAUUAUAUCUCCCAGGUAGACAUAAAUAAUAAUUUAAAAAGUGCUACCACCUUAAAAUUAACUUCUAGAAAGUCUGGAUGCGUUUCAGGAUGGGAUAACAGCAUUGACUUGGGAGUCUUGACAGCUGGUGUCUCGUGUCUCUUGUCACACAAACUUGCUUGACUGAUUGGUACCAAUUUCUACCGUUAGUGUUUGUUCUGCUCUUCUGAUGGCUUCCAAGAAGGUUUGGGCUUCUGGUGGUGACCUGUCUGCAGACAGGUCAAUGUGCAAAGGUGUCUUCAGCUGCCCUGAGCUCGUAGGCUGGGAGACAAUCCUGGUUUGGAAGCUGUGUUAAUGAAGUACCUGUGUAAAUGAAAAGCUGCUGCGAGGCAGUGUGCAAGCACUGCGGUAACAGCUUCUUUGGGACUGGUGUCUGGUCGGCUUGGAGCACUGGACAGGCAAACACGGAUCUGUUUGCUCUUAACUGGGCAAACAUAACCUUAGGCCUGGUUUUACCUUAUCUACCUCAAACACUGGUCUGAGGCACCAGCAAUUCCAUUUCAGCUUCUGAGGGAGCUGGUUCUAGGGACAUCAACUGCCUCGCCAUUGCUGGGGAAGCUUGAGGAAAACUGUUCUCCAUUUUUAGGGGUGAAACAGUUUGAGCUCAAAGAUUUGCUGUGAAAUACUUGAUGAAGUCCAUGCUUGAGAUGAACUGGAAGUUUGAGUAGGCAGCUGUGGUGCUGCUGUUGAAUGGACUUUUAUUCUUCCAAAUUUCCAGACGUUCAUUCCCAUCUAGCCUAUACAUGUACCAGCUGGCACUGUCAACCAUUAUGGACUUUAAAAUGGUUUUGGUCCCUGCUAGAGGAGGUCUUCACUGCUAUAACUGUUGUCCUGCCCAGCAGUUAACCCUGCUCCUGUGUUUUUUCACUGUUCUCUGGUCUCUUUUCAAGAACUGUAUUAUAUUUCCAUUGCCUUUCCUGGAUUCCUUCCCCUGGCAAUUUUCCCUGUUUUUCAGGUUGGAUGGGAUCACAGUAGAAGGAAACAGCAGGUCUGAUUCUUCGAGAAAGGAUGUGGGGAGGAGGAUGUUGAUCAGGCAUAUCUUGAGAUCGUUUUGCCCCUUCCCUAAAGGACCAAAAAGGAUCCUAAUCCCUCCUGUGGCAGCCCUGAUCAUCUUCUUUGUCUGUCUCUUGAAAGCUUUGUAGGAUACAGUAACCUCAUGGAAAAAGGUGGAUGUCUUCAUGGCGUGAUACUGACACUAAGUGAGAUGAAACUUGCCUUCAUUUAUAUAUUAAAAACAAACAAAAACCAAGUAACAACAAUUCUCUACAUUAAAAAAAAAAAAAAAACAAAACAACAAACACUCCUAAAUCUAUAAGUUUUCACUCUGAUUUAGAUAAUAUGUAAUUCUGCUCUCCCAGCUCCCUUUCUGUGUUUUAUACUGACUGAAGGCUGAGCAGCCACCUGUAAUUCACUUGUUUGUUCUAACAGUGUACAGUGGCUGCAACUUGAUAUUUUGCUGCUCCAGUUCCUUAACAGGGCAUGUUUCUGAACUGUAGGAAAGUACAAAAUGUUUCCAUCGAAAUGCUAGAUUUCACCUCACCAAAGUGGUAUUUAUUUGUACAGUAUCAUGUGGUAGGCAGUCUCUCCUGUCAGUUGAGCUGGUGAUUUAGGAAGCAUCAGAUUUCCCUCUAGUAUGAACUCAUCCAGUCAAGGCACCUAACAAGUUAUUUUGGUAGAUUUGAGGUGAGUUAAUAGCCACAAAAUUUCUAAUUUGUAUUUCUUUUCAAAGUCAGAUUAGCCUAGAAAUGCUGGUGUUUUAACUGGUGCCUUUGUAACUGCUCCAUGACAAAUUAGGCUUGCUGGUCUGUUGCCCUGUAGCUGACAAUUUUAAGUUCUUUUAAAGCCUUUCUGAAUAUGAAAGUUCUGAAAAGUUCUGAAAGUAUCCAGUUCUGAAAGCUGGAUACUUGUAGAUUUGCUGUAGGACACUUUUAUAACUAUAUUUUGAACUGAAAUUUAAACAAGUCCAAACAAUAUGAAUUGGAGUUAAACUUGUAUAGGGGUUGCCCUGGCUCUGAGCAUCUGCUCCUCAACAGAAGAGCCUGUGGGAGGAUUUCACCUUUAUGAGAAGGUUCACCCUUACCUUUAGCUGCCCUGCCAGCUCCUGUGUUGUCCAAAGCCUGUCUGGAAGGAACUUCAGAGGUUAUGUAGUCCAUCCAGUGCCCCGAGGCAGGAUCAGUCAUACUCGGACAAGUGUCUGUCAGAAAUGGUUCGACUUGUUCUUAAAAUUGUCAUGUGAUGGGAUUCCUUCUCCUUCCCCCUGUUAAGCACUUUAUUAUCUACCCUUAUUCUGAGUCUAACUGAAGUCCUGGGACGUGAAUGUAUGUGACCAUGCCUUUCCAUUUUAUUUACCAUUUUUAUAGGUACCACAAAUGGUGGUAACGUGUUUUACCACCACUCAUUAAUUGCUUGCUGGUCUGCUCUUCAGUUAAGGUGCUGCUGUCCUUAUCCUGUGAGCCAUGGGUAAGAGAGAAGGAUACCGGUCUGUGUUCAGGUUGAAAACAAAGACUUGAUUGCUCAGAUUGUGUGGCUUGUUUUAGGGUAACUAAUUUGUUUCACAUCUGAAUCUUUUGUCCACAGACGUAUUGUGUUACUGAUCCAGUAUUUGAACAUGUGCUUAAACCCCUUUUUGGAGGAAGUCCUGCACCAGCUGUGUGGAAUGCAUGUCUGCAGGGGGGAGAGGGGCAGGCAGCCCGUUGAGCUGUCUUCCCUUGGCUUGUAUCCCACGUUGCCUGGGUUCCUGCCUCACCCCAAGUGUUUUGGGGCCAGUCUCUUGAUCUCACCUCCCUGCAGUGCUCAGCCAGGUGCUCCCCUGUGCUCCGAGCUGCUGGGGCUCCAGCUGUGGUCCUGCUCUAACACAGCCACAUCAAUUAUAAGAGUACAUUGUUGAUUUUCUUUUUUUCUUUUCUUUUUAAUCUUCCUCACUUUAACCGAUCAAAAUGCUGAUACCACACCGAAGGAUGCUGCGUAGCCUGGGGCCUCCCUCACUGACAGCUGUGUGUGCAUCUGCUGUUCCUCUGCCGUGUCCCACACCCGUACGGCGGUGUGCGAAUGUCUCCUGUCCAGCAGCUGUCCUUACCUUCACCCUCAGAUAAGGGUGCUAGACUGCAGACAGUGCUCACCUCACCAAGGAUGCGUGAGAACUAGAGGAGGUGCAGGAGGAGAGCAACUGAAAUGAUGAGGGGGCUGGAGCCCCUUGAAAGAAAGCACCACUUCACGUUGCGGGCAGCGAAUUGCUGAAGCUGCCUGCCAUGAGAAAGUGUGGUGGCAUAAAGUAUCAGCAGGUUCUUACAAGAAUUAAGCAAGCUGGGGGACAAUAUAGUGGGCUAGAGGAUGUUUCUUAUGUUCUUAGGGAAAACCUGGACAACUCUCAUCUCUGAGUCAUUGCGUCCAUGUAACUUGGUUUGGGGAGGUUCCACUUGUCUCUGUGUAUGUUGUGUAUGUGUGUAUUUUAAGAUUAAUUAUAUAAAAAGGGGGGGGGGCUAUCACCCUACAACAUUUUAGACCAUCCAUCUUAAGCUUUUGAUACAGAUGAGGAAAACUCUAUUUAUAAAUACAUAUAGUCAUAAAUUUAUUUUGAUGCAGAAAAGGUAAAAGAAUACGUUAAAAAAAAAAACAAAACAACAAUGUGGUGAGAUCUGUCUCAGAGUUGCACCAUACAGUCAUUGUUUACAUAUCUUACAGUCAAACUAUUUGUCACUUGGCUGAAACAACAAAAUGCUUUGAAUGAUUGUGUCUAGUGUAAAUAGUAAUAAAAAUAGUUUGUGUCGAAAUUGAUAAAGAAAUAGAGUCUUAAUUUUAAACCUGUUCAUAUAACAGUUACUGGUAUAUCCACACAUUAUUUAUCUUAAAACAUGUCUCAAAAUAAGCACCUAAAAUUACUUCAAAAAAGGGUGAUAUAAUAGGAAAACCUGGAAUACUUGCUGUCACUUGUAUUGCGUAAUCAUUUUGAAUUUUGUGUAGCUACCCAAACCUGUUUAAUAACUGUGAAAUACUUGAUAGUUGAGCUAAAUCGGUGACAAUAACAUCAGAAACAAAAUUGAUAUUUUUACAUAAUGGCUUGUUCUGAUGUUGAAAACACCAUUUUAUUUUUCAGCCUGCUUUUUCAGCCAAACCCCUAAGCAUUGCAGUCAAAAUGUCACACUUCUUAAUUGCAGUGGUGUGGUUUGUGUGUAACUUGUCUGCUGAGCAGGCUGUGUGUAUCGUUGUUAUGACAAAACAAAAAGAAAUAAGGCCCCCUUUCCUUGAUAGUGCACCUUUGAUCUUCCAGACAAGAAUUGCAGACCUAAACCCUGCAGAAAAGAUGAAACUAGCAAGUCUAACAAAAGCCUAAACAGAAGUAAUAGUUAGUAUUGAAAUCCUAAUUAUACUAGUGAGUGUUUUAAACACUAUUUUACUUUAAGUAUAAUUUGAUUUUGGUCGGUAUGGAUUCUGUGAAACAGCAACAGUGAGGAGCACAGCAGUGCAUAUGCAUACACAAGUGCAGUAUUGCUUCAAUAACGUCAGUGAUCUCAACUGUGCAAGUAAGCAAGUAAUAUUGUACAAGAAUUGUCUGCUAAAUUGCAAGGUUUAAUUUACAGAUAGAAUGUACAAAUGCUAAAAUAAGCUGUUUUUGAAGUCAUCUGUUUUUGUUUUUUCUAUGAGAGUCCUUUAUUAUUUAUAUCUGCUAAAUUAUUUGUAAUAUAAAAUAUUAGGCUUUUGACUGUGCAGUUGCUAAAUAUAGUUAAUAGAUCUUUGAAAUCUGUUGUUUAACUAAAUUUACAGAUCUUACAGAUGUCUGUCCUUAUAGAGAUGAACUUAAUACAGUUUAAAAUCCACGGGUCCCUGCUUUAUGCAGGUUUGUGUGAAUAAGGCUUUGUUUUUAAAAAUGCAUCUUUCUAAUGUGAUUUUGUAGGUUAAAAAUAAAACAAUUAUGCCUGAA